UUUCCGUAGGUGAACCUGCGGAAGGAUCAUUACUGAGUAAGGGCCCCUCGGGGUCCAACCUCCCACCCGUGUUUAACGAACCUUGUUGCUUCGGCGGGCCCGCCUCACGGCCGCCGGGGGGCAUCUGCCCCCGGGCCCGCGCCCGCCGAAGCCACCUGUGAACGCUGUCUGAAGUAUGCAGUCUGAGACAAUUAUUAAAUUAAUUAAAACUUUCAACAACGGAUCUCUUGGUUCCG
rnacentral:misc_RNA from 1 species